rnacentral:lncRNA from 1 species
UGGCAAAGCUAGGCUAGGUCUUGGAGGCCGCCGCAAGGCGACGCGGGCGAAGGCAGGCGGCCGGCGGGGAGACGAAAAGCCGAAAUGGAUUCACGGUGCCUUGCCUGGAAGCUGAGGGAUCUGCACGCCCUCCAACUCGCUCUGGCCGGUGAGAAGUGAUCCCGCUUGGGCUGACAAGCGGCUCGGGAAGCCCUCGCGGUCUGUGCUUUUUACCUGCCAAUCAAACUGCUACAAGACAACACCCUGAUCUGGCACGGACAU